rnacentral:rRNA from 1 species
CCUAUUCCCGCGGCAGGGGAGCUGCGGAGCUCGGGAGGGCAGGUGAGUGGCGAGGGGUGAACGCGGGGGAGCGAGAGAGAGAACGGGUGCGUGAGCAGUGGAGGAGGUCUAGGUAGCGGCUCGUGCCAGCAACGGCGAGCGGAGUGAGACGGUACCGGUCGUCCGUGUAGAGCGGAGCGGCAACGCAGGUGUUUCUGGCGGCAGCAGACGACGCAGAUGAUGCCUCUGCUUUGCUCGGCCUUGGGGAAGGUAGCAACUCGGCCGGGAGACGAAGGUGGAGGCCGGUGGCUUCCGGCGGCGGCAGCAAGACGACGUGGCUCGGAGGGGGCUCGGGCGAGUACGUGUAGACGUCCAGGCGCUGGGACUCUGACGGCGACUACGGCGAUACAAGCUCAUGUAGCUGCUGCUGGGGAGGAACGGUCUCGUUGGUCUACCACCUCAAGUCCUCGGUCUACGGUGGAAACUGCUGCCGACGAUGGGGCUCCCACGGAUGAUGGUGCACUGCCAGCGGCUGCUGGUUCUCAUCAAUCCUCCGAGGGUCCGUCCUCCGGAACGGA